rnacentral:pre_miRNA from 1 species
UCAGGAUAUCGCGUCCAUGUCAGCGCGACCUGCUGACGUGGCGUGAUUUCCUUCCACGUCAGCAGGUCGCGCUGACGUGGACACGAUGUCCUG